GAUGAACGCUGGCGGUAUGCUUAACACAUGCAAGUCGAACGGACUCUUCGGAGUUAGUGGCGGACGGGUGAGUAACGCGUGAGAAUCUGGCUUUGGGUUCGGGACAACCACUGGAAACGGUGGCUAAUACCGGAUGUGCCGAGAGGUAAAAGAGAAAUUGCCUGAAGAUGAGCUCGCGUCUGAUUAGCUAGUUGGUGAGGUAAAGGCUCACCAAGGCAGCGAUCAGUAGCUGGUCUGAGAGGAUGACCAGCCACACUGGGACUGAGACACGGCCCAGACUACUACGGGAGGAAGCAGUGGGGAAUGUUCCGGAAUGGGCGAAAGCCUGACGGAGCAAUACCGCGUGAGGGAAGAAGGCUCUUGGGUUGUAAACCUCUUUUCUUAGGGAAGAACAAAAUGACGGUACCUAAGGAAUCAGCAUCGGCUAACUCCGUG
rnacentral:rRNA from 1 species